UACGUAGGGGGCGAGCGUUAUCCGGAUUCACUGGGUGUAACGGGAGCGUAGACGGCCAUGCAAGCCAGGGGUGAAAGCCCGGGGCCCAACCCCGGGACUGCCCUUGGAACUGCAUGGCUGGAGUGCGGGAGGGGCAGGCGGAAUUCCUGGUGUAGCGGUGAAAUGCGUAGAUAUCAGGAGGAACACCGGCGGCGAAGGCGGCCUGCUGGACCGCGACUGACGUUGAGGCUCGAAAGCGUGGGGAGCGAACAGG
rnacentral:rRNA from 1 species